rnacentral:tRNA from 2 species
UCCGAUAUGGUGUAAAGGUUAGCAUACCUGUCUCUCACACAGGAGAUCGGGGUUCGAUUCCCCGUAUCGGAA